rnacentral:lncRNA from 1 species
CUUGAGUAGGGCUAGAAUAGUCAAUAGGAGAAACUGGCCCAGGUCCCUUGCAAAGUGGCCACAUGUGUUGGACUACAAAUCCCAUCAGCCCCACCCAACUUGGCGGGGGCUGGAUGUUGAUGGACAUCAUUAUUUAUAGUGACGUUGUAACCCGCCUCAAGCCAUAAGGAGAGGCGGGUAAGAAAUAAAAUUAUUAUUAUUAUUAUUAUUAUUAUUAUUAUUAUUAUUAUUAUUAUCCAAACCCCGGCAAGACGUGAAGGCUCUCCCUUAGAUCUGCUUGCAGUGUUUGCCUUCAACAAACAGAACAGCUAUUAACAGAUUGAUUGCUUCUCUCUUGUUUAGUUCCUCGAGCCCCAAAAGCAAACGGAAAGAAGAGAAAAAACACAAAAAACAGUAAGUAGAGCUGGUUGCUUUCGAUGUGUAUCAUUGCCCUUAUGUUUCUGGAUGGACAACUGAGAUUCAUCGUCCCACAUCUUGAUACAACCCCUCUAUGAAUUUAACAUAACUAUCGACCACAUGUGGCAAAGGUCUGAUUGCCCUUCACCAUUCAUCAGCCUGAUUUCUAAAUCCCUCGUCCCAUCAUCCACGGGCCUUUAGGACAUCUGCAUAUUAUUGACAGAUGCAUGUAUCUCUGUGCUUUCCUUUUUUUCUUCCCUUCUCUCCCAAAGCUCCCACGGCCGCUCUCAAAAAUCCCACCGCCCCCACCAUCGGCACCGCAGCUCGGGCUCGGAAAGCACUAAUUCCCUCUCUGAAAGUUGCGGAAGCAGGUAAGCAUGUCCUUGUCUGAAACGUAGGAAAUAUAGUACAACACCAAGCUUGGAGCUGGCAUGGCCUCAAUGGGAAAAAUAUAAGAUGCAGGCAGGGGAAGAGCUGAAAGCAAAUAUGGGGUUGCAUUCCUCUGUCCUGCAGGCCUCGCACCCGACCUCACGAAGAAGGCCACAAAACGCGAUGGAAGCACGCCGGGCGCUCUUCGAAGAGUGCCCGAAAGUCAUCCGGCUCUGCAGAGGUGACCGUGGCCACCCCGUCCCCGGGCAGCCCCCUCCCGAACAACCGCCCCCUCCCUGCCGCCAAAGUGGAGGAAAUCUUGAUUGGUAAGUGGAUGCUAACCGCAAGGCGAGAGGGGCUUUCUUACUAGCGGUCACUCGAAAAAAUGAAAUAUUUUUAAAAACCUAUUAGCUAUACCUUCUCCGAGGGGAAAACACACACAAAGCAAUACGUCUGCCUUUUUUCUCCAGAGAGCCUUUUGCUUUUUCAUUAGGUUUUUGUUUCGGUUUUUUUUUCUCUUUUAUUUCUUGUUGUCGUUUUCCUUGAUUUUCUCCUUUUUUCCCCUCUCUCCCCUUUGGUUAUUUUGUUUACCAAGGUUCGUUGGCUUGUUUCUUUGGUUUUUAAUUUACGUCAUUCCUAAAUAUUGGUUUGGAAUGGAUGUGGUCGUCUUCCUAUCUCCUCCUUCACAAGGACACCUUUUGA